UACGUAGGGUGCGAGCGUUAAUCGGAAUUACUGGGCGUAAAGGGUGCGCAGGCGGCUCCGCAUGUCGGGCGUGAAAUCCCUCGGCUCAACCGAGGAAGUGCACUCGAAACUGCGUAGCUAGAGUCUCGGAGAGGAAGGUGGAAUACUUGGUGUAGAGGUGAAAUUCGUAGAUAUCAAGUGGAACACCGGUGGCGAAGGCGGCCUUCUGGACGAUGACUGACGCUGAGACGCGAAAGCGUGGGGAGCAAACAGG
rnacentral:rRNA from 1 species